ACCAGUGUAGUGCAGUGGUCUGAGCAUUGACUGUGACUCUGGAGACCAGGGUUCGAUUCCCAUCUCGGCCA